rnacentral:tRNA from 1 species
GGCGGAGUAGCUCAGUUGGUUAGAGCAGCGGGAUCAUAAUCCGCGUGUCGGGGGUUCGAGUCCCUUCUUCGCUACCA